CACGCUGUAAACUAUGAUAACUAUCUUUUAGCGAUACACAGUUAGAGGGUACGAGAAAUCAUUAAGUUAUCCACCUGGGGAGUACGUUCGCAAGAAUGAAACUCAAAGGAAUUGACGGGGGCCCGCACAAGCGGAGGAGCAUGUGGUUUAAUUCGAUGAUACGCGAGGAACCUUACCUGGGCUCGAACGGUACAUGAAUUAAAUGCGAAAACGUUUAAGACCUUCGGGACAUGUAUCGAGGUGC
rnacentral:rRNA from 1 species